UCCUUUGCACGUCACUGACAGAAUAGAACACCAAUUUUUGGUAUAUUUAAUGAGAAAAAUAUUAGAGACUUGUGCCCAGAACAAGUUGAUCUAUGGACUUGUGGUAGGUAAACUUUUGUAGAACUGGAUAUGCUGCGAUCAACGAUGCCAAAGGUUUUUGUUUAAUAUUUGACAUUGACGUUCGAAUUUUUUGUUGGCAGUUCUCACCUUUCGUUAUUCAUUAUCGGUAGUCGCUUUCAACAGAAUUGUGGUGUGUCUGAAGUGCUUUUAGUCGAAAUGCAUAACCAUUUACAUAGUAAAGCUAAGGAAUGGGAGGCUAGUUUCAUCCAUUAUUUUGAAAUGGACUAUGAAGAUUGUGAUCCUUUAUUUCCAUUGGGAAGAUAGAGGAGUGUAUCCUUAUAUAAAAGCAACUUUGUUCAUAUUUUUAUUUUAGCGUUCGUAGACGUUACCAUAGUAUAAUCCUUCAUCACUAGAUACUCAACUCCUUUUGGAAAUACAUACCGAUUUUUUCAGCGUAGCAUUUACGUAUAUGCGUUGUGGUAAUGUCCCAACAACAACUUUUGGUAUCUGAAAAAACCGUAUAUUCGUUUAAAGGGUUCCCUCCUACUGCAUAAAUUUGUUGUUACUAUUUGCCUUAUAACGUGAACUGUUGUUUGGAGAAAACAAAAUGAAACGUGGGUAGAUUUGUUCGUCGUUGGACUCCUUAUCUGUCGCAUUCCUCCAAAUCCCACCCAGAUUUACGCAGGCUCACCAAUAAAGCUCUAACGAGCCUCCGUCCAGUCGCCCGGAGAUUUUACGACUUUAGGGAACUGAUGGGCUAUUGGUUCAUAUGGAACUCUUUACAGGAGGAUACCUUUUCAUUAGCAACCGGUCAGUGCUGUUCGUCACCUCCGCCCGAAGAAACAAAAUAGUCAUAAAAUGGAGCGCACCUUUGAUGUAUUGUAUAGUAAAAUGGCUUCUGCAACGUCAAUUUUAUCAGGUGUGGUGUGACUUUACAGAAACCCGCCCGCCACUGCACUGAAAAUCGAAGUACCUCACUGCGUAAGGCUGGAAUUCUGAUGACAAAGAUACAGUAUUUCGCAUACAGUACCACCGUGUAAAAGAGCUCUAAGGAAGCUAAAAGAUGCAAAUAGAGUAAAUAAAUAAAUACUGCACUAUGUGUGCAUAUUUAGGGUGAGAUAAAUGAAUCAGAUCAUUGUAAUAAGGUAAGAACAAAGAGAUCCGAGUUAAAUACGUCUAUCGCAACCCAAAGUUAAAUGACAAAUAAUGAGACAGGAGGCUUUAAGCGGCGUUACAUGGGGCGAACCUGCGCCGCGUUGUCGCAAAGCGCGAGGUGCAAUUUUAAGUCAAUCAGUCCUCUGAAUGGAUCCCGAAGACUGAAAUUAAUCCAAUAGCGAAAAUCAUAUCGAUCGAGCCACCGUCAUGCUGCGGACGAAGGUUUUCGCAGCAUUUCGAAGAAAGAAAACAAGAAGCUUGAACAUAUCCACGGCGUACCAGGAUGCCAGAAGCGGCGUAGGUAGGUGCGGAUAGCGCCGAUCCUGACGAACGGAGUUAGGUCAGAGCCGGGACGUGAUGACAUGCGGUGGCGACGUCUUGAGCCAAAGCGACCAGCCUCAGUUGCUUAUGUAGGGAAGGUAGGCUUGCCCAGGCACAAGUGGUUUUUGCUGGCCCUUGGUGGUGCUUAUUAACAAUUCGUCGAGGCGUCCGGCGUUGCGGCGAAUGGGGCGUUUGCUGGUAGUGGGGUCCUUCCCUGGCGUUCCUAACAACGGCGGGAGGGCUAUAGUCGGUCCGUGCAUAGUACAGCUGGAUGCAAGAUAACUCUCCUUGUGAGUGAAAGCCGUGACCCGAACUCGUCUAGAACUGGUGGUGCACAAACGAUAAAGGUAUUUAGGAACAAUCGAUGCGAAGUAUGUUUUGCGAAUCAAUGUUUCUUAACUAUUUGCUGUACAGGAUUGUUACGCUUCAAACCCCAUUUACUAAUUAUGUUAUUCUAUUGCAGCAAGAACAUACCUUAAAGAAAAUAAGAACCGUUUCAUAAUUUAAUAAAGAUUAUUGACUUAUUAUUUAUCCCUUUACCUUUUUCCUUAAGAGGCCAGGAGAGAAUUACUAACUGAUAGCUAUCGGGCGCACAUUAUACAUAAUUCCAUAACAAGAACCACCCGUAAUUUAAUUAAGGUAUGCGAAGAUUAGCCAGAGGUAGGAUGGAGUAGAAGAGGUAUUUGUAACAUCCGUUACAAAAUGACACCCAAAAACGGGGCUUACGUAUUAGAGUGUUCUGGAGAAGCGAUGAAAAUAACGGGAAGGACACACAAACAGGAAUUGAUGCUUCACUUGACCUUCACUGUGGAAUACUGUUUGUUGAAAUCUAAGAACCUCGUGCGUUGCCGGAUGUUUCUACUAUCGUUCUGUAUUUUAGUUCAAAAAGGUAUUUGGGCAUUUGCUUUUAUGCUUUCAGAGAAAUGUAUGUAUCUGUGCCACUAAAUUACAUUCCCAACAGUUUCUUUUUGAAUCAAACAGCAUAGAUA